AGUCAACGUUGGCGGCGUGCGUAACACAUGCAAGUCGAACGACCCUUAAGUGGCUUGCCAUUUAAGGAGAGUGGCGAACGGGUGAGUAACACGUGAGUAAUCUGCCCCCGAGUGAGGAAUAACUCCGCGAAAGCGGGGCUAAUACCGCAUAAUACUCUGAAGCACACGCUUUCAGAGUCAAAGCCUUUCGGGGCGCUUGGGGAUGAGCUCGCGGCCUAUUAGCUAGUUGGUGGGGUAAUGGCCUACCAAGGUAAUGAUGGGUAGCCGGCCUGAGAGGGUGUACGGCCACACUGGAACUGCGACACGGUCCAGACUCCUACGGGAGGCAGCAGUGGGGAAUUUUGCGCAAUGGGCGAAAGCCUGACGCAGCGACGCCGCGUGGAGGAUUAAGGCCUUCGGGUUGUAAACUCCUGUCAGAGGUGAAGAAUGCCCCUUCGGGGGUUUGACGGUAACUUCAGAGGAAGCCCCGGCUAACUACGUG
rnacentral:rRNA from 1 species